UACGUAGGGUGCAAGCGUUAUCCGGAAUUACUGGGCGUAAAGCGCACGUAGGCGGGUAUUUAAGUCAGGGGUGAAAUCCCAGAGCUCAACUCUGGAACUGCCUUUGAUACUGGGUACCUAGAGUAUGGAAGAGGUGAGUGGAAUUCCGAGUGUAGAGGUGAAAUUCGUAGAUAUUCGGAGGAACACCAGUGGCGAAGGCGGCUCACUGGUCCAUUACUGACGCUGAGGUGCGAAAGCGUGGGGAGCAAACAGG
rnacentral:rRNA from 1 species